rnacentral:misc_RNA from 1 species
UGGUUCUGGCAUCGAUGAAGAACGCAGCGAAAUGCGAUAAGUAAUGUGAAUUGCAGAAUUCAGUGAAUCAUCGAAUCUUUGAACGCACAUUGCGCCCGCCAGUAUUCUGACGGGCAUGCCUGUUCGAGCGUCAUUUCAACCCUCAAGCCCCCGGGCUUGGUGUUGGGGAUCGGCGAUAGUCGCCGUCCCCCAAAUCUAGUGGCGGUCUCGCUGUAGCCUCCAUUGCGUAGUAGCUAACACCUCGCAACUGGAACGCGGCGCGGCCAAGCCGUUAAACCCCCCAACUUCUGAAUGUUGACCUCGGAUCAGGUAGGAAUACCCGCUGA